GAUGAACGCUGGCGGUAUGCUUAACACAUGCAAGUCGAACGGACUCUUCGGAGUUAGUGGCGGACGGGUGAGUAACGCGUGAGAAUCUGGCUUUGGGUUCGGGACAACCACUGGAAACGGUGGCUAAUACCGGAUGUGCCGAGAGGUAAAAGAGAAAUUGCCUGAAGAUGAGCUCGCGUCUGAUUAGCUAGUUGGUGAGGUAAAGGCUCACCAAGGCAGCGAUCAGUGGCUGGUCUGAGAGGAUGACCAGCCACACUGGGACUGAGACACGGCCCAGACUCCUGCGGGAGGCAGCAGUGGGGAAUUGUCCGCAAUGGGCGAAAGCCUGACGGAGCAAUACCGCGUGAGGGAAGAAGGCUCUUGGGUUGUAAACCUCUUUUCUUAGGGAAGAACAAAAUGACGGUACCUAAGGAAUCAGCAUCGGCUAACUCCGUG
rnacentral:rRNA from 1 species